UGGGGAAUUUUGGACAAUGGGCGAAAGCCUGAUCCAGCAAUGCCGCGUGUGUGAAGAAGGCCUUCGGGUUGUAAAGCACUUUUGUCCGGAAAGAAAUGGCUCUGGUUAAUACCUGGGGUCGAUGACGGUACCGGAAGAAUAAGGACCGGCUAACUACGUGCCAGCAGCCGCGGUAAUACGUAGGGUCCAAGCGUUAAUCAGAAUUACUGGGCGUAAAGCGUGCGCAGGCGGUUGUGCAAGACCGAUGUGAAAUCCCCGAGCUUAACUUGGGAAUUGCAUUGGUGACUGCACGGCUAGAGUGUGUCAGAGGGGGGUAGAAUUCCACGUGUAGCAGUGAAAUGCGUAGAGAUGUGGAGGAAUACCGAUGGCGAAGGCAGCCCCCUGGGAUAACACUGACGCUCAUGCACGAAAGCGUGGGGAGCAAACAGGAUUAGAUACCCUGGUAGUCCACGCCCUAAACAAUGUGCAACUAGUUGUUGGGGAUUCAUUUCCUUAGUAACGUAGCUAACGCGUGAAGUUGA
rnacentral:rRNA from 1 species